AUUGAACGCUGGCGGAAUGCUUUACACAUGCAAGUCGAACGGCAGCACGGACUUCGGUCUGGUGGCGAGUGGCGAACGGGUGAGUAAUGCAUCGGAACGUGCCCAGUCGUGGGGGAUAACGUAGUGAAAAUUACGCUAAUACCGCAUACGAUCUAUGGAUGAAAGCGGGGGAUCGCAAGAACUCGCGCGAUUGGAGCGGCCGAUAUCAGAUUAGGUAGUUGGUGGGGUAAAGGCCCACCAAGCCAACGAUCUGUAGCUGGUCUGAGAGGACGACCAGCCACACUGGAACUGAGACACGGUCCAGACUCCUACGGGAGGCAGCAGUGGGGAAUUUUGGACAAUGGGCGAAAGCCUGAUCCAGCCAUUCCGCGUGCAGGAUGAAGGCCCUCGGGUUGUAAACUGCUUUUGUACAGAACGAAAAGGUUUCUACUAAUACUAGGAGCUCAUGACGGUACUGUAAGAAUAAGCACCGGCUAACUACGUGCCAGCCGCCGCAGUAA
rnacentral:rRNA from 1 species